rnacentral:rRNA from 1 species
UACGUAGGGUGCAAGCGUUAAUCGGAAUUACUGGGCGUAAAGCGUGCGCAGGCGGCUUUGCAAGACAGAUGUGAAAUCCCCGGGCUUAACCUGGGAACUGCAUUUGUGACUGUAGAGCUGGAGUACGGUAGAGGGGGAUGGAAUUCCGCGUGUAGCAGUGAAAUGCGUAGAUAUGCGGAGGAACACCGAUGGCGAAGGCAGCCCCCUGGGCUAGCACUGACGCUCAGGCACGAAAGCGUGGGGAGCAAACAGG